rnacentral:tRNA from 1 species
CGUCCUGUAGCUCAGCCGGUAGAGCAUCCGCUCGACAUGCGGAAGGUCCCAGGUUCGAAGCCUGGCGGGACGA